UUGCGCCUACGGGGGGCAGCAGUGGGGGAUAUUGCACAAUGGGGGGAACCCUGAUGCAGCGACGCCGCGUGGGUGAAGAAGUAUUUCGGUAUGUAAAGCCCUAUCGGCAGGGAAGAAAUUGGACGGUACCUUACUAAGAAGCCCCGGCUAACUACGUGCCAGCAGCCGCGGUAAUACUUAGGGGGCAAGCGUUAUCCGGAUUCACUGGGUGUAAAGUGAGCGUAGACGGCCAUGCCAGCCUGGGGUGAAAGCCCGGGGCCCAACCCC
rnacentral:rRNA from 1 species